rnacentral:rRNA from 1 species
CGGCGGACGGGUGAGUAACGCGUGGGUAACCUGCCUCAUACAGGGGGAUAACAGUUGGAAACGGCUGCUAAUACCGCAUAAGCGCACAGUACCGCAUGGUACGGUGUGAAAAACUCCGGUGGUAUGAGAUGGACCCGCGUCUGAUUAGGUAGUUGGUGGGGUAACGGCCUACCAAGCCGACGAUCAGUAGCCGACCUGAGAGGGUGAUCGGCCACACUGGGACUGAGACACGGCCCAG